UUGAAUUGAUGGAUGAAAAUGGAAGUCCGAUGUUGGUUAUCUGGGGACCCUGUGCGCUGGAGGGAGGGAUGGAUGGACGGAGAGAGAAGAAGAGAGAUGUGUUUUACAGAGCAAUCUAUUCUGCUAGUGUUGGGGGUUAAUGACUAUUGCCAAAGAUAAGUGAAUUAUCAAAGCUGUUGCUCUUGCCUCGACUCAAAAUCCAUCACAUUGCAUCGUCGCCUAAUUAAAUACAAGAAAGAAAGUCCUACUGGUUUGGAACAACAUGAAGGUGAGCAAAUUAUUACAUAAUUCACAUUUUUAUUUGAAUGAUCCCUUUAAGCAUAAAGUGAACAUGGAAGUAAUUGUUUUUAACCAUUAUAACCAUUGCUGUGUUCACAGUGGAAUGUUAACAUCAGGCAGUUGUGACAACGUUGAUAAUUUUCAAUUUAUUGAUUGAUUCUAUAUUUAUUUAUAUAUGUACUGUACUGUAUAUCUAAUAUUUAUUCAUUCAUAGCAGGGACUAAUAGCACAAAGAAAAAAAAACAAUUUAAUUUAAAAGCGAAUAGAACUAAUUUUUGGUUAUAUGUGUGAGUUUUCAUCCUAAAUGCGAUAUAUAAAACACUGCAUGCUCAGUUUGAUUAGUGGAUUCUGACAGUUCAAACACUGCAAACGCUCCUUAGUAAACACUUGUUUACUUGCAGAUUUAAAAAAGCAAUUGUUUUAUUCCCACGUAAAUUUGUUGGUGUUUUGCUUUAUUGCAUGUUAUUGUCACAACUUAUGAGACAAACCAUGACGCAAUGUGACUGGUAAAUGUAGUCCACGAUAUAUUCGGAAAGUCAUGCUAUUUCCUGAGACCACAUCACCCAAACACUCCACAUGACAGAGUCAAAAAGGUCAACCCUAUGAAAUGAAAACUACGGAGGAAAGAAAUUGAAAAAGUGAGAAAUGACAACUCGUACCACGAAGCGGGACUGUUAGUGACUGCCUUGCUGUAUCAAAAUGAAAUUCCCCAGCUGCCAGCUCUAAUAGGGAGGGUCAACAGGUCAAAGUUCGCGCAGCCCCUUAUUGCUGUGUUACGCUGCAGUUUCAAUUCCCAGUGGCACUGUCGUAAGAGUGGAGGCACACACUCGCUUAGAGACGUGUCUUACACUCACGUAAUGGCAGGUCAGAUUGUGUCAUGGUGCAUUAUUAGCCCAUCCAUUAUUAAUUAUUUAACCUUAAUAUAGAUAUAAGUUUUGAUAGUUACAUUAAGGCACUUUUUUGAUAUCACUGAAUAUACAAAUUGCAUAUCAAGCCUGAAUUGUUUCAGUAUUCUUUCUCUGAUAUACCUGUACAUCAUUGCACACCCAAAAGGGCCAUUUUUCAUUUUUCAUUCAAAAUCUAUCCACAGAUAAAGGGGUGCACUAGAUGGUACAGGAUUGGCUUUGUCUAAACAGGCUGCUGCAAUGACAAGUCCCACAGCUGUAGAGAUGGCAAGGCAGUCUGAUUGAGUGUGUGCGUGUGUGUGUCUUUAAUGCCAUGGGGAUAACUCCAUCUUCAGUGGUUUCAACUGUAUCUCUGCCCCAAACAGAUUUGCAGUUACAUUCUAAAGAUGCUCGACACCACCCACGUGCAUAACUGAACCUUUAAUCAUGCAGAGGAAGCAAACAAACAGCCUCUUUAAUGAUAUUCCUCAAAAGAUGGAGAUGAAAACAGCUGCUGGAUUUAUUUAUUUCCUACAAGCAGCAUUUUAUGCAUUUUUAAGUGUAACACAAAACAUCAGACUUGGAUUCCUCGAAAUUGCCAUGCGGCCUCUUUCGGGACAUAUUACACUCAGAAAUGUAAAAGGAUCUUAGCAUAGUGUCACUCUAAACUCAGAAUAUUUUUUAAAAACGUGUUGGAAAAAAUAUACAGUGGGGUCCAAACACCUGAGACCUCUUAUCAAAAUGCUUCUAUUUGCCAUUUUUGUAAUUAAAUGCAAAUGGUUUUGUACAAUAGGCAUAAUAAUUUACAGUAAGCGAAAAGUUGAACAUGCAUUUCAGAAUUUCAUAUGUACUUUAAUGAGAAAGCAUUCGAGCUGGCAUGGACUUCAAAGUUUAUGCGAAACCAGAUGAUCUAUGUUUUUCAGUGUUUAAAAAUGAAAGAGCGUCUUGUGUGCUUCAAUGAAAGUAAGGGACUCUUAAAUUUUGCACAGAGGAAAUAGCAUGGUCAAUGUCAAUGUAAAAAAAAAAAAAAAAAAUAUGUAUGUAUAUACAUAUAUAUAAUGAAUUUACAUUUUUUAAGAAUAUUCAGAAAACAAUGCCAGUCUGUUAGAUUAAAAUCUUGAUUUUUUAAGCACAUAAAAUGUUGACUAUUGUGUGACUUUAGCGUGCUGUAAUAUUCAACAUGCAAUUUUCCUUCCCAACUGUUGUUGUGUUAAAGUUCAG